AUUCUCUCCUGGCGGAGGGCCUACUGUGUGUCCGGAGCUGCAAGUGAACAACACGACAAAACGCCCUGGCCUCGCGGAGCUGAUCCUGCCCUGCCCUGUAACUCGGGUGUCUCCGCGGGCCGAGCCUGGCACACAAUGAGAGCAGUGAGGCACAGAGAAGGUGACCGCCUGAGGUAUCUCGGUUGGUAAGCAGCAGCGCUGGGCUUGGAAUCAGGUUUGAACCUGCAGCAUGUGACCUGCUGCUCUCUGAAUGCUGUUGCUACACGAGGUUAUUCUGCUGCUAUGGAGCAGGCUGCUUGUAGCUGGGCCUGAAGCUGGCAUUUCCAGGACUUGGUGCUUCUGCUGAGAUGGAAUCUCACUCUGUUGCCUAGGCCAGAUGGAGUGCAGUAGUGCGAUCUCGGCUCACUGCAGCUGCUGCCUCCAGGGUUCAAGCAACUCUCCUGCUUCAGCCUCCUGAGUAGUGAGAUUACAGGUAUGCACCACAACACCCAGCUAAUUUUUCUAUCUUUAGUAGAGAGGGGGUUUCACCAUGUUGGCCAGGCUGGUCUGGAACUCUUGACCUUAGGUGAUCCGCCUGCCUCGGCCUCCCAAAGUGCUAGGAUUACAAGUACGAGCCACCGCGCCUCACCUAUUCUGCUAGCCUAUUCUGCUAAUUUUUAAGUCUGUGCAACUUUCAAGGGAGAUUAAAUCCCUAUAUGCCCUACUCAUUUUACACCAAAGUCAUCAAAAUGUGGCUUCCAAGGCCCCUUUGAAGUCCUAAAACUAAACAUGUGGUCAAGGGGCCCAAGUGUUAUAAGUGCAUCGGAAACAAAGAAACAUGUUAAUAAAAUGUUUCCUUCUUGGCAGCA
rnacentral:lncRNA from 1 species